AUACCAUGUUAUAAUUCUUAUUGUUAUACCAUGCUAGAAUGCAACAAUUGGGUAAGGACAUCUGGCGGAUGAAUUUCAGACUAACUGAAUUUUGACAUCCAUUAAAAUGAUACAGGAUGGGGUGUGUGACUGUGUGUCCAAGUAACAAGUAACCCUUAAGUUUGUUUUCUUAGCUAAUUUUUGUGUUCCCAUCGAUAAUUCAGCUAUUGACUAUGGGUGUGUUAUUUGCGAUCUAGUAAGUUCAGUGUUACGUGUCUGUUGGAGAAAGAACACUUCAAAGGGAUUGUUUUUUUUCCUGUCUCGCAGUUUCCCUUGUCAUCAGCUAGGCAAGCUGUUGAACCACAAAAUUGUUAGCAGCCCAGGAUGAAACUAUUUCAAAGUAAAAGCACUAAGGAUGUGGACGCUGGAAGAAUUGUGAGCAUCUUACGUUUGUUGAUUUUCAUCAUGCCAUUGUUCAGUGAGAGGAUACAAUUCUACCCACCAAUCUACCCAUAAGCUUUAACGCUAUCAUCUUAUUAGGAAUGUAAUCCCAACAUUAGGGCUGCGAGCCUUCGUCUUUGUUUCUACGCAAACCACCGUCCAGAUGAUUUCCGCAUUUCUAUCCAUCAGACUGCACGCAUUAAGUAAUUCCAUCAAUUCAGAACAACUAUGUUCAAAGCCAACUUCAGGAUUUCGGUCUUGCUGUUUUCUUCCUUCGCCUUCGCCUCAUCGCUGUCCUCAAUCCAUCUAUCCGAUAACGUCAUGACUUGAACGAAAUGACGAAUGACGAAUGACGAAUGACGCCAACGCCAUCGCCAUCGCCAUCGACAUCGCCAUCGCCAUCGCCAUCGCCAUCGCCAUCGCCAUCACCAUCACCAUCGCAUCGCCAUCAGAAUCACCAUCACCAUCACCGCUGCCGUUGCCGCAGCCGCCGUCUUCGCCUUUGCCUUCGCCAUCCCGUUCACGCUUCACAGAAAAGUCGGUCACAAUUGGAUUUGGUUCAGCAAACAGCCCACGGCGAUGGUGGAUUUCACCGUGGAUCGUCCUCGUGGUAUUGUUUUGUUUUGCAUUGUAUCUUGUAUGUAUAAGUUAACCCGUUGGCUGCCACCCCGUUUGCGUCCCAUUUUUUUUGUAGCUUUUAGGGAACCGGGCGCUGUUCUGCCCCAUGGCCAUGGGGGGGAACAGUCGCCGCGCCUAAAGGCUUUGUGCCUUUAGGCGCCGUAGGCAAUGCACCAGUAGGGACUUCUCUUUGUCGGUGCGGUGAUAGAUUCCUGGGGUGUGCAUUCCCGGAAUGGUUUCUAUUGCCGUGCCAGCCCGGACUUGUCUUCGGACAAGUCCCACCUUGUUCGUGAUCCUUCAGACGCGAUGCGUAGCUAAUGUAGUUUAAGCAACCUACGGGUUGCAUGGCCUGGCAGCCAACGGGUUAACUUAGUUAAGUGUGUAUGUUUGUAUGUAUGUAUGUUUAUGUAUUUUACAUUUAUGUAAUAUUUUGUGUUGUAUAAAAAAGUGGUGGAAU